rnacentral:misc_RNA from 1 species
UCCGUUUUAACAACGGCGGUCUCCUUAGAGUCCCCACCCGAAGUGCUGGCAACUAAGGACAAGGGUUUCGCUCGUUCAGGGACUUAACCCGACAUCUCACGACACGAGCUGACGACAGCCAUGCAACACCUAUGCUAGUUCCACCACAAGGGCGUCACUCCCCUUUCAGGGAGCUAAUCCUAGCACUUCGAACCCGGGUAAGGUUCUUCGCGUUGCUUCGAAUUAAGCAACAUGCUCCACCGCUUGUGUGAGCCCCCGUCAAUUCCUUUGAGUUUUAAUCUUGCGACCGUACUCCCCAGGCGGGGCACUUAACGCAUUAGCUACGGAAACGAGUGCCAUCGAAACACCCGCAACCUAGUGCCCAUCGUUUACAGCUAGGACUAC